UACGUAGGGCGCGAGCGUUGUCCGGAAUCAUUGGGCGUAAAGAGCUCGUAGGCGGCCGGUUGCGUCUGCUGUGAAAUCCCGGGGCUUAACCCCGGGCGUGCAGUGGAUACGGGCUGGCUGGAGGCAGGCAGGGGAGAAUGGAAUUCCCGGUGUAGCGGUGAAAUGCGCAGAUAUCGGGAGGAACACCCGUAGCGAAGGCGGCACUCUGGGCCGGUACUGACGCUGAGGAGCGAAAGCGUGGGGAGCAAACAGG
rnacentral:rRNA from 1 species